AGGAUUCCAACAUAUCUACUCCCUCUACUUGCCAUUGAGAACAAGGAAAAGCCUUAUGAACAUCUAAGGCUUACUUGCUUAGGUGCUAUUGAUUCCUUAGUGAAGGUUUUUUUAUUUUGCUAAUCUGUUGGUGUUGCGUCUUUCCAGAAAACUCAUAUACAGUGAUCUUGAAGUUAUAUUCCACUCACCCUUGCCAAGAGCAUAGAUCCU